UACAGAGGGUGCAAGCGUUGUUCGGAAUUAUUGGGCGUAAAGCGCGUGUAGGCGGCUUAGCAAGUCGGGCGUGAAAGCCCUCGGCUCAACCGAGGAAGUGCACCCGAAACUGCUGAGCUUGAGUGCCGGAGAGGAUGGCGGAAUUCCCCAAGUAGAGGUGAAAUUCGUAGAUAUGGGGAGGAACACCGGUGGCGAAGGCGGCUAUCUGGACGGUAACUGACGCUGAGACGCGAAAGCGUGGGGAGCAAACAGG
rnacentral:rRNA from 1 species